GCCACACUACCCGGUCGGUAGCCCACGGAGGCGGGCCGUCUCUUCUGCGCCAGAUGUCCUCUCGGUAAUUCCAACCUCAGGCGCUCUACCACAGGCGCUUAAUUCGCGAACGCGUGUGUAGAGAGCCUCAAUUAAGUCUGUUUAGAUAACCUACCAAGUGCCGGAAGUCCCUGUACAUUGAGGGUUCCAUAUGUAUGCUGGAAGGGACAUAUACAACAACAGAAGAGUCUGUAUACAGUGCUAGGUGCACCUACGGAUUCCACAGAGGACCAACAGUAACUAUUCUCAAGGCAUAAUAUCACAGGCCUCACACACGGUGCCUACAUCACAGGCCAAAAUCGAAACACAUACUUGCCAGACAUUACUAAACGUUCCCUAUGCAAAGUGCCAGAAAACACCAUUCAUAGUGGCAUUGGUGUCAGAAGACUUCACACAGUGGCAAUAGUGUCUCACGGAACUAACCGCACCAGACUACCUGUAUACAGUACCACAAUAUCACUGUUCUGGGAGUGCCUGUAGGUCCCCAUUCACAGCACUGGCCAAACUUAAAAGAUGCGUUGGUGGGGACGGCAGAGAUUGGCAACAACGGUGGUGGUGAUGGUGGUCGUGUUGGAGAUGGUGGUGAUGGUGGUGGCAGCGGCUGACGUUACCAGCUAUGGACCCGCCGUCAGGGUGGCGGGCCAGGGCGGCGGCGGCGGGCGGGCUCACAGAAGCCUACGCCAGGUGGCAGAAGAUUGUGACUCCAAGACUUGCUGCGGGUACACGGAGGGCAGCGUCGGCUGCCGCUACCAGGGUCAUCGGUGCCGCUGCCCCUUCGUCGUUCCCCGACCCAUCCCCUUCACCCACUUCGGCAGCCUCUUCACCCACCCGAAACGGAAACGCCCCACCACCCAUGAUACCCAGGGCAGGUGCCGAGGUAAAAGGCACAAUGGUGGGUGUGAAGACACUCUAUCCAUACCUGUUAAUUAUUAGGUCCCUUGAAACACCCCCUCCAGGUAAAUCAGGUUACGAUAGACGGUAGGAUUGAGUAACGUGAAAUUAACAUAGGAUUAACGUUACCGUCGUUGAUUCAUUAUUACAUCAACGUCAUUGUCUCGGGAUUGCCCAGGGUGGUCAACGACGCUGAAGGAACGUUCAACCAAUGUUAACAUUGAUGACAUGCUGCUUUGGCGGUGUGUCCACUCACAAGAUGAGUGGCGCUGCCCAAUAAACUCGCCCCUCGGGGCAAAAUUUAAAAAUUUAAUUGAUGCAGCAAUGGUUCAAUAUUAUUUCUCUUGUAAACCCCUGGGCAAACUACAUUCAUUUAAUUGGGAGAGUCCCAGUGGGCACAAUAUCAAAGUGUAAGGUUAAUUCAACGUGACUCUUGGAUAUUAUGCCCACUGGGUAGAGGAGGGGGGUAGAAAUAGUCUAAGCUACUCUAGCUUAUUCUUAGGCUAUAGUAGGUAGAAAUAGCUACUCUAUCCCUUUGAGAUGUAUUUCUUUCUUGUCUCGAUAAACAUACUUGAACAUGAAUUGAACUGGGUAGGUAUUUACCACCAUCAGUGUUGAGGCUGCUCUCCCAACAACCGCUCGUGUAGUGAACAUUGCUUUGCUUGAUAAUGCCAAACUCAUUUAAAGUGAGAUUGAAUGUGUAGUUGGGUUGUUAUAAUUAUUAUUAUUAUUGUUAUUUGUGCUGCGAUUACUACUGGUAUCAUCACACUAUUAGUAAUAUUAUUUUUGUACACAAGUCGCGUUAGUUUUAUUAGGCUGUUGAAAGUAGCGUUUUAGCUUGCAAUGUUCAGUUAUCUGUACCAGUUCGGGUUAUUAUUUCUACUUAAUAUUAUUGUGAUUAUAAUACAAAUAUUUUGGCGAGAACAGUUUCAUGAUUGCUAAAAAAAAAAAAAACUAUAUAAUAUAUAUUUUUUUAAAUAUACCGAUUUUAUUCUGAAAACAUUUGUAAUUCUAGCAGACACUUUUUAACACCUGGAAAUAUUUGAGUGCGUACAUAAGAGAUUUUGCAUACAAUUGAGUUUUUUUUUUAUAAAAGACCGCCAUCCCAUGAAAAUGAUUGUACAGAGUAUCUGCACUUGUUUACAAGUCAUUCCCUCUGUUAACGAUGCGUAGCAAACAACCUGGGGGCGAAUGAAUGAAACUAUCAGGAGAAAGCGCCAAGCCAUUACUACUAUAUAGCUCUGGGAAGGGAUCAGGAUAAGGAUUUGGGAUCGAACGGGAGGAAGGAAUGGUG